GUGGAGCUCACUCGGUCUGAGAGGUCGGAGGCUGCGAGUGUCGCUGCUGAAGGCUGUGGUGGACCAGGCUGGAUCGCGGAUUCUGAGCUACAUCGCGGGUUUGGUGGUGGAUCUUGGAUUUGGGGGUGGAUCGCGGGUUUGGGGGUGGAUCUUGGAUUUGGGGGUGGAUCGCGGGUUGUGGGGGGGAUGGCGGAUUUGGGGCUGGGUGGGGGUGGAAAGGCCACGAGGAGCCGCGGCGGCUCAGGAGCGGGUGGUGGGCGUCUGAAAAGUCGCCACCAUGAGGAAGCUCUUCAGCUUCGGGAGACGCCUGGGCCAGGCGCUCCUGGACUCCAUGGACCAAGAGUACGCUGGUCGGGGGUACCACAUCCGGGACUGGGAACUGCGGAAGAUCCACAGGGCUGCCAUCAAGGGCGACGCCGCGGAGGUGGAGCACUGCCUGACGCGCAGGUUCCGGGACUUGGACGCCCGCGACAGAAAAGACAGGACUGUUCUACAUUUGACCUGUGCCCAUGGCCGUGUGGAAGUGGUCACCCUCUUGCUGAGCAGAAGAUGCCAGAUCAACAUAUAUGAUAGACUAAACAGGACACCUUUAAUGAAGGCUGUACACUGCCAGGAAGAGGCUUGUGCCAUUAUUCUCCUGGAACAUGGCGCCAAUCCAAACAUUAAGGAUAUCUACAGCAACACUGCUCUCCAUUAUGCUGUGUAUAAUAAGGGGACUUCACUGGCAGAAAAACUGCUUUCCCACCAUGCAAAUAUUGAAGCACUAAACGAGGAGGGAAACACUCCACUUUUGUUUGCUAUAAAUUCUAGGAGACAGCAAAUUGUGGAAUUUCUGUUGAAGAACCAGGCAAAUUUACAUGCCAUUGACAAUUUCAGAAGAACAGCCCUCAUGCUUGCAGUACAGCAUAACUCAUCAAGUAUCGUCAGCCUCCUCCUUCAACAAAAUAUAAAUAUCUUUUCUCAAGACCUGUUUGGCCAGACUGCCGAGGAUUAUGCUGUUUGUUAUAAUUUCAGAAGCAUUCAACAACAAAUUUUGGAACAUAAAAAUAAGAUACUUAAAAGUCAUCUUUGAAAUGAUAAUCAAGAAACAGCAGCUAUGAAGCCUUGAAUUUUGAAAAAAAGACAAGAAGGUGCAAAAGUCUUUAAUCCUGGCAGGGAUUCACGGGCGCACACACACACACUCAGGAUUCAGAUCUUGUUGAAAGCUGCGAUAUCGACACUCUGCACGUGCUCCUCAAACUUGGUGAUCUCCUCCAGCAAGUCUGUCCCCACCUUGUCGUCCUCCACCACACACUGAAUCUGUAGCUUCCGGAUACCGUAGCCCAUGGGCACCAGCUUGGAGGCCCCCUAGACCAGCUCUUCCAGCUGGAUGGAGCACACACAGGCCUCCAGCUGGGCCAUGUCAGUCUCAUCGUCCCAAGGCUUGAAAUCCAGCAGGAUGGAGGACUUGGCCACCAGUUCAGGCUUCUUGGCCUUCUUCUCCGCGUACUGCUGCAGCCGCUCCUCCUGCAGCUGUGCCGCCUUCUUGUCCUCCUCCUCAUUGUCGCUGCCAAACAGGUCAGUGUCAUCAUCGUCGUCAUCCUCUGCUGGUGUGAAUGGCUUCUUGGCCAGGGGCUCCACUUGGCGCAUGGGAGACAUGUGCUGGGUCUGUGGGGCCGUGGCCCGGUGGCCAGGCGAGUUCUUCUCCAGCACGUUCAGCCGGGCCUCCAGCUUGGAGAUGACCUGCUGCAGCUCCUGUACCACACUGCGCAGGCUCUGGUUCUCCACUUUCAGACUGGUGAUCCGGACGACGAGCUCGCUGUGGUCUCCGCUGGGGCCGCUGGAGGCCCCGGGGCCUGAGUUUCCGGCCAGGGAUUUCUGGAUGUUCUCUCUGGCUCUCGCGAUGUCACGGAGGAUCACGCUGGCGUCGUUCUCUUGGCGGGAGGCACCGGCCACAGGCCCAUUCAUCUGCUCGUAGAAUCUCCUUUCUGCGUCGUCAUAUUUGAACUUGUCGAACCAGAUCUUCUCAUGUACUAGGAAGUUUGUAGCCAUUUUUCUGACGCCUGCCAAGGACGCGACGACCAGGGAGGAGGAAUCGGCGGACGCGGGACACCUGAGGAAAGGUGUCAUCUUGUCUCCUCGCGUCAUCUUGUCUCCCAGUGUCCAGUAGGGCAGAGGGGGAUGCCCAGAGGCAGGAUGAAAAACCACAGUCUUCAGAGCUUGUAGAGAGUGCCUGAGAGGCCUGGAGGAGACUUGGGACCUGCUUUCACAACUGCAGAGCUAUCUUUGUCACAGCCUGGCAAUGUAGAAGGAAAAAAGGCCAUUUUCAGAGCAAACUUCAAGAAGACUUCAGAUAUUUGCAUUAAAAAGAAGACCAGUGUUAACAGAGAA
ensembl:lncRNA novel transcript